AGCUCCCUGAGGCCAGCUGAUCCAAAAGCUGACUCUCAUCCUUCAUCUCAUGGCACAGACCAGAAACUUCCUGUUAGAACUGUCUCAGUCCAUCAAAUCAUUUUCAGGAACGUGAGGUGAAGUACUUGCAGCCAGUAGAGUCGAUGAUGCAGGAAUCAGUGCAUCUGAGAUGACCGAAGGAUCUGUGAAGGACACAAAUGUUGUGAACGAGCGCAACUUACUGGUCUUUUGACCGAGCCAUGAUGCACAUCCGACAAUGCUUCUCAUCAAGACAAUUCUUACCAGGGCGCCCGGUGGGUCCUCUUUUGCCUGGGAUGCCUGGUUCUCCUUUUGGGCCUUGUUCACCCUUUGUGAAGAAAUAAUGGUGGUCCUGGAGGUCCCGGAGGUCCAGGUGGGCAGCCGGGUACCCGCGGAUGCUCGUUUUGCUGCUCCUCUCCUCUAAACACGGCCGGCGGCGACACCCCGGGGGGUGAUGGGAAG